UACAGAGGUCCCAAGCGUUGUUCGGAUUCACUGGGCGUAAAGGGUGCGUAGGUGGCGUGGUAAGUUUGAUGUGAAAGCUCAGGGCUUAACCCUGAAAUGGCAUUGAAUACUACCAUGCUGGAGGUUUGGAGGGGGGACUGGAAUUCUUGGUGUAGCAGUGAAAUGCGUAGAUAUCAAGAGGAACACCAGUGGCGAAGGCGAGUCCCUGGACAACACCUGACACUGAGGCACGAAAGCCGGGGGAGCAAACAGG
rnacentral:rRNA from 1 species